GUGAGCUGUUUACUACAACUUUGUGAUUGAUUCUCAUUCUGACCUUCUUUGCGCAAAACCAUUAGAUAAGCGUCAUAAGAUAAGUAUUUUUUUCUUAAUAGAUCACAUGAUCAGUUUAAUAUACUAGCUUUAUCUUGCUAACUUGUUGACAAUGUCACUGUAAGUCCAAGACCACUGUUGUACAGUAGCUAUCAUAUUUUUAGUGCAUUAAUUAAAAGUGAUUUCUGUUAUUAAUUUUAGAACUGGUUUCCAAAUUUGUUUAUAAAGAGAGUGUGCACAACGUUUGUGGAGGACUCUUUCAGCAAUGGCGGUCUGUGUCAGUGUGGGUCCACGCGAGACACGCACCCCUCAGGAGCCCUGGGCGAUAACUUCAGCACAGCCAUCGUCAGUCACUGGGACAGCACACAGCACUCCUGCGAACAGCCCACAGAUGCCUUUGGAGAGCUGGAGUUCGCUGGGGCCGGCAAGAGACACAGCUAUAGAAAACAUCCAUCAAAAAUAAAGCAAUACAAUGAAUGUGUCUUGAAAAGAAAGAACUCAGAAGAACAGAAUGAUUCAGCUGUGAAACAGAUUAAGAUUAAAGACUAUUCCAUGUCGUGCAGGCAGGUUGCUCAGUCCACAAUUGACAGGCUUGUAGUUGAAUUUGUCUGCGAAAGCCUUCAGCCCUUUACCGUAGUUGAACUUCCAACAUUUAAAAAUCUAAUCCAUACAAUGCAACCUGGCUGUACAGUUAUGUCCUAGACCAACUGUGAAGCUGAGAAUUGAGGAAGCAGCCACAAAGGUUAAGAAGAACAUCAUUGCUGAGAUGGCAAAAGUCAGCUAUAUAGGUACCACAACUGAUUGUUGGACAGCACAACAACGGAGUUACAUCGGUGUAUCCGCACACUGGAUUGAUGAAUGUACACUGGAAAGAAGGUCUGCUUCCAUUGCCUUUAGACAUUUGAAAGGAUCACAUACAUUUGAUGUGCUCGCAGGAACCCUGGAUGACAUCCACUCGGAAUAUAGCAUCUCAGAAAAAAUAGUCAGAACAACAACUGAUAGUGGAUCAAAUUUUAUCAAAGCAUUUAAGGUGUAUGGUGAACAGAAUCAGCAAGAGAUGAUUGGUGCUGACUCUGCUGAGGCAGAGACACUGGAGAGUGAGGAAAAUGAAGAAGGAGUUGAGGUUCAGGACACCUGUUCCAUUUUAAACACUAACACUGGAUUGGAGUAUCAUCUACCUAAGCAUCAGCGUUGCGCGUGUCAUCCUCUUAAUUUGGUGGCUACUGUGGAUGCAUCCAAGGCAGAGGACAGCAGUGAGGUAUAUAAGAAGCUUUCCCGUUCAACAUUUGCGAAAUGCCAGGCAUUAUACAAUAAAACCAGCCGGUCUGCCAUCAAUGCUGAGAUUGUCUAAGAAGAAUGUAAGCUGCAGUUCAUUCAGCCCAACCAAACAAGAUGGAACUCAAUGUACAAUGCUGCAGAG